CAUUUGGGAUCUUUUAUACAUGAAAACAUACGUAAAAACAUUUUAAAACUAUGUUAGACUUGCGUUAGUUGAAUUUCUGUUUUGUUUUUUACUUUACUCCCUUGAUAAUUUGCCUUGCGGACCGUCUGCUUUUCGGCUGGAUACUUGAGCUGUGUGC